GCAGUUAAUGGAUACUUUUGCCCUGAAGUAGCCCCCAGGAUAGGGAGCUGAGAGCAGAUGUAACUUCAACACCAGCUUAUACUGCAAGCAUGAAAACAGACAGAUGUCUCUGAGUGAAUGCAGCAAAAAUUAUUUCCCAGAACUGGGGCAGGAAAACAAUCUAGCUCCUCUCCAGCAUGCACAGAGCGUGGCUGAAGAAGAGAAUUUUAUUCAUUAAGUUAACUGGCAAUGAUCCCUGAAAUGUCAGCCUUGGCCUGAAGUUUGUCUCUGGGCUUGGAAAGCAUCCUAGCCCUUCUGGUUUUGAAAGAGGAAGGUAUAUGGCUCCUUCCAUUUUUUAUGUGCUGGCUCUGCCAAAGUUUCGGUGCAAAUAGGAGGGAUAAUGCCUUUCCAUUUGCUGCCUACUUCCUUCAGAGGGGAAAUGGGAUCUCCCAAGCAGAGUACAGAAAAUCCACAGGGAGCAUGCAAGAGUCGCAUCCAUCAUUAAGGUUCGUAUUGUUCAGCAACUUCUGAAGGCACUGUCGGGCACUCAUGUGCCAGCAAAGUCAGCGGUGGAGUCAGGUUGUGACCUGGCAUGAGCUUAUUUGCGGAGAAGGUGUGGGAAGACUUGCACAGCGAGCAGACUCACGGGCCUCGCUCUACCUAGAGGAUGUGGGAGCAUUAGUGGCACAGUGUGGUUUCAUUAGGAAACUGGCCCAGCAUCGUUAGCAUAGAGGAUACAGUCUCCUUGGGACAGAUGUAAAGAGGUACAAGAACGCUCUUUCCUUUGUGAGAGAUGGAGAGGCCUUUUAAACAUUUUUGGAAGUCCCAGACAUGAAUACACAGUUAAGGGCUGGCCAAUGAUGCCAGGAAGGGACCCAUAUGAUAGACUGGGUGCAAGGGAUGCAUCUGCUCCCAGAUGGUGUGCCUGCUGUCUGCAGAGAGGCCACAGAAACCUGCUGCUGAUCCAACCAUUAUGGGCUGUGCCUGCCUCCAUCACCUGCUGACUCCCUGCUCCAUGUCCACCUGCGAGUGCUCUUCUGAGUGCAGAAGCAAAUUAAACGUGUUUCCUAUGGCCUGUGGUAGUUAUGGGAUUUCUUCAAUGAAGGUUUGCUGGUGCUUGGUAUUUUAGCUUGCACUGCAGUCUCUCUCAGUGCGGGUGCUCAGAGAGUCCUCUCUCCCCUCUCCACCUACCUAUUUUCAUUAUCUCUGGGAUCUAUAUGCCUCUCUUGGUUGAAACUGGAGAAGGAUUUGAAUAGAUGCUUGUCAAUAGGAAACUUGUAGAGGUUCAGGCAGCCUAGUUCCUCCUCUCAGGGCAGCUUGAUGGGAUAAGCUGUCUGCCCUUAAAAAAAUACUAAUAAGGGAAACACAAAGGAAAAAAGAGAAAGCAAAAUGGUGAAAAGUAGAGGAAAAUUGAUCUCUUAAAUGGCUUGUUAUAUCAGCCAGAUGUCCAUUCACUCUGCCAGCUGCCUGGAUAGCUUAGCCCUACUCCCAUAAAGAACCUUGUGUCUUGCACUGUGCCUCUCUUUUUGCAUAUUUGUUCCACUUGCAACUGGUUUUCUGAGCCCUAUUUCUCCCCAGUUUCUGCUACUCUGGAAGCCUGUGUGCUAUCGCUUCAAGGCAUUGCUGGCUGGUGCUGUGGGCAUAGAAAACAAGGCACAAGGAGGGACUGACAGCAUGGGGCACUUCCCUUGGGUCCCUGUUUUAGCCACAAGGCAGAUGUUGCCCUGUCUUGGCUGCAUGAAGCUGGUAGGGCUAUGCCCACCUGCCCAAAGCAGUCUGUAUGGUAGACCCAUGUGCCGAAUAAUUUCCCUGUUACUUUACUUACUUCACCCUUCCUUCUUAGCCCACUCUGCAGUGAUGUUUCUCUCAUGCUUGGUUUGCCUCCCGAGGCUGAAGGAGACUUGGCUGUGGAUUGGGAUAUAUUGUAAAGAUGCUGAUGUUGCUUAUCAAUUGUCCUCUUUGUGGAGAGAAGUUGUGUGUGGUUUAAAUCACUUCAAAGACCAAUAGUUUUGUCUUUAAUAGUGGUGUAACUCAGACCUGUGCUCAGCCUGGGCAGUUGGGACAGGCACAGCAGUCAGGCUGGAGGCAUUUUGGCAAGGCGAUGAAGAGAGCCAAGUCUGCAAUGGCAUCACCAGGCCAGGAGUUUGUCAGCCAUUCUGUAGAAGCACAGCUCUGGCAGGGAAGUCUUAGAGUGUUGUAAGAACAAGGCUCAGGGAGCCCUGUGUGCUCACAGGAUAUGGGCUCAGCACGGGCCUGAUGUUCAGCUCCAGCUCACUUCCAUAUUUGCUUUAGAAUAACACUAUUCAGGUUCCAUAAGUAAUCUGAAAACUCUACCUGGCUCUUAGCAAGGAGAAUUUGUAACAGAGGUCACUGCAGUGGGAGAGCAGGCAAGUUGUCUCCUGACAGCUAAUUUCUUCCUGUGCUUCUCUUCCAGCCAUCUUCUGGGGUUGGAGGCUGUUGAGCUGCUAGUAUGAGUGUGCCUAUGUGUGCUGAUUAUUAUGUGUGCACAUGCUGGCUGGGACACUGAACUCUGGCCUGUGCUGCUCUUGCUCCCGGUGCGCUGCCUUCUCCGCGCUCCGCCGGUUGUGUAGUCAGAGACCUUCUAGCACCAGUGCCAAAGGACUGCGACAGACCCCUGGGUGGCAGCAGGCCAUUUGGUUGAUGGAUUAUCCAUUCCAAGCAAGAGACAGUAAUCUUCAGAGGAGCAGACACAGAGAAGGGGCAGAGUUAAUCACUUUGAGCAUGGACAACAGUUGGAGGAGGGAGUGAGCAAUUCUAAGAGAAAACUGUGUGGUUUGGAGGGGAAGAGGAAGCAAAAGGGAAAUUAAAAGCAUACAGCAAAAAGUCAAGGGCUCUUGCUUGGUCAGGAGAGACAAGAUGACUGGGUUUAUUACAGCAGGGUAGGACUCAGCCUCCACCAGCACCUUCAUUUUGUCAUUGGUUUCUCACACGUUCAAUGGAAUGCAGCUGCCCACUAUCUCUCCACAGUGGGACACUGCAGCCUCUGCCCAUAAAUACACACAUACUGCACGGUUACAAAUGGGAGAGGUUGGGAAGCAGAGUGCUGAAAAUCUCUGACCUCAUUGCCUGCAUUGGAAUAGCAAUGAGAAGUGCUCAGACAGGUGUAUUAUGCCAUAUGGAUUCAAACAACAGAUUCUGCUUGAGACUAUAUUAAGAAGUGGGGAAUUUAGAUUUCAAAGGCAGCUCUAUGUUACUACAACAUUCACAUAAAGAUGUUUUUGAACUCCAUACUACAUUUCACCAGGGAAGUCAUUCUGGGCCUCACACCAAACCAGCUGUAAUUUGGGCAGAGGGUUUUUCACUUUUCUGAUCUGCAGCUGAGUCAGUGAGUAUAUUAGCUACUAUUUCCAAAUCUUAACGGGUUAUCUCUAGGCUUCUAGCAGCCUACACAGCAUCUCUCAUUUCACAGAAGAGCUUUGAUAUAUAUAUAGGGGUUGAAAGCAUUGCAAGUCCUGAGUAUUAAUGGCCGAGUUAAAAAUUGAAUAACCAGUGUCAAGAGACAGGAUAUGUUUAUAUUGUCAUGGCAUGUGCCAAUGGAUGAUCCCACUACACACAGUCUUUCAAUUUGUUUUUCUUUUGUUUGGCCACAGAAGGAUGUGAUAUGGCACAGAGAUUUUGCAAGGUUUGGGGCAGAGUCAAGAGACCUAAAGUGAGAGCUUUGUAAGCAUCAGUGUUUUAUUGUGGGUUUUCAUCUACAUCAGUUCAAAGGGAAAUCUACACCAGUCCUGGACUGAGGUCCCUGAGAGCACUUGCAGGCUGUUCACCACCUCUGUUUCAGGGCUGCUUGUAUAAAGCAAAUAUGUAGACUAUUCCCAAGCACAAAUCUAGUUCUUUUUUGCUGGAAGGACAAACCACAUGCUCUAAACAUCUGGCAUUACACAGACUAAAGGACAAUGGAUGGAAAAAAGUAAUUAAAAAUAUUAGCACUAGUUACAAUUAAAAACCACAAUUCAUAACAUAAGACCAUAAGAAUCUUAAUGGCCAGAUUAGACCAAUGCUCCAUUUAGUUCAGCCUGCAGCUUCUAAAAGUAGUUUUUUCUGGCUGGUGCAGAGGGCGGUGGAAAAGCCACACAAAUGGACAACACUUAAAACAUGCCAAGCAGAGCAGUUUCUUCCUGCUUUAUACUUCUGCUUAUAACAGGGCUAAACUUUUAACAAGAAAGUUUGUAUCUCUUAACAUUUAUGAAUAUAUAUGUAGGUAUUUACAUAUAUUGCAGCUGUGCCUGAGUCCCUUGAAACUGUCAUAACCAGUGGAGGUCACAGUUACAAACCAACUGACUGUGUCUUUCUGGGCCCAGCCAUUCCUUGUGAUACAACAGUGGCAAAGACUGAGUCACAGUGGUCACCAAGGUGUCCUAUCCAAGCCUUCCUAGUCAUAUGAAUCACUUUGCUCCAUCACCAGAUCAUCUUAAGAACUUAAGUUGUGUGGGCUGGAGUUGAAUCACCAAGACCAAAUGAGGCAUCUCAGUUCCCAAGAUCAGUUCAGUUGCUCUAGUCAAUUGCAUCCACAAGGACUUUCUGGAAACUUGAGGAAUACACAAUGUCAGAGGAUCAAUAGCCAAGAUGGAAGGAAUAUAAGCAAGACUCUGAGGCUGCUAUCCAAGAAGAGUUUUUAAAUAGAUAGGAAUUUAUGAGGGUAAGCUAGAAAUGCACCCUUGAGCUCUAUGGCUGCCUCUCCCUUCUUGCAGAGUCAGGAAAUGAACCUGAGAAGCAUCUGUUGGAUUCUGUUAACAUGUUGAAGUGCAUCUCUUUGGGCACAGUUACCCUCCCAAUAGCUUUUGUUGAAGGGUGGAUAGCUAUAUCUAGUUGACAGACAUGACUGAAGGCCCAUACUUUCACUGUUACACAAUUUAAUGUCUUCACAACAUAAAGACAAAAGCCACCAUAGGAGUUAAAAUGACACUAUUCCUCCUGUGGUAUCUAGGUGCUGGUUUGAAGCAAAAGCUCUCAAGGAAAAAAAUGCUUGGAGUCUGUGUGGGGGCAUUAAAUUAGAUUUACUUUAAUUUGGACAGAAGAACGUUAAGUACAAAAAUUAAAACACAAAAAUAAUUAGCAUCUGAGGUUGCAAGAAGCAAUUCAUUUAGUAAUUCCACUGUGAGCUUGCUGGGUUUAAGGUUCUGGGGUGUGUUUUUAGUUUUUUGCUUCUGGCACUCUCAGCUGCUAUCUCUAUGCUACAUUGCUUCACACCUGGAUUGACCUGCCUUUAUAAUGUGUACUUGACAUCCAAUCAAGGUGGUUUUGAAGCAGAAACAGUGCUAUUAAAAUGCUGUUGAGAAAUCUGAGGCUCUUUUUCUAGU